rnacentral:lncRNA from 1 species
CCCCGCCGCUCGCGCUGACAGCGGGGCGCGGCCCGCGGCCUCUGCCGGCCCGGGCGCCGCGGGUCCCUUCCCGGGGGAGGCUGUUGCGGCACCUGUCCCGCCGGGACGCGGCCGGCUCCGGGGCAGGGAAGGGCGGCUCGGGAGGACAGGGGGCUCCUCGGCCGCAGCCGCGUGGCCGUGCUGGCUCCUCCGUGUCCAGAGGGUUUUGGGAAGCGGGAUGCGCGCCCCGGCUUCUGCACUGGGCGGUGUGUGCCGAGGAAUCAAGGAUGCUUACACUGGAUUUCUCAUUCAUCCUCCAACGUGCUUAACACACCUCUCCACAAAACCUUAUGUCUGAGGUACUGUUUGUUUCUUUUGGCCAACAGUAGUGACUAAGGCCUUGUCAGAAUCUAUGGAAGGUGGGAAGGACAUGGUUAUUAACUUUUUAUGAACUGACUGUGAGUCCCAGGACCUGUGCAAGUUGCUUGUGUCACCCAGGAGGUGAGGUAGUGGGUGUGGGCACAGAACCCUGCAGCCCUGGCUCCUGUUCUUACACCUUUCCUGUGUUCACCAUCAGAGGGUCACUUGUGUUCAAAUACACGGUCAAGGGUCCCUGUCUUGAUGAAUCCAUGCCUCUGCAUGUGGUUGCAGGAGGAAAAUCCAAGUUUAAUACUCUGCAGCUUUUGAUUAUGGCAGGAUAUAUGUCACAUUCAUACACAUGAAUUUGGAUUCGAAUAUCUACUGAGGUCUUGGGUUUUGGUUCCCGUGAGCUGUGCAGCUGUACCUUGUCAGAGUGUUGUUUCAUGAGCUGUGCAUCUGUUUCAUGAGCUCAUGUCCUUUGGAAAUACUAAUUAUCCAUUCAAUAUCUUGGAUUCAUAGAAUUUAAGGUCUUUGAUGUUUGGUCACUAAUAUCACUACUCUCCUAUAAAAUUUGGAGGAUGAGUGCCUGUAGUAAGAGGUUUUUGUGGUUGAGUUGCCCAAAUACCUCAUGCAGAAGACUUUAUUUUCACUGUAGUUUCCUAAGAAAUAUUGCUUAUGUGUGUUUCAUCCGUUAAAAAAAAAAAUCUUUAAAUCAAUAAACCAAUUUCAGCCUAAUUUGACAGAGGUCGAGGUUUUAAAAAUAUUAUAAAGGUUUUGAGGGAUUUCUUCUGUUUCCUAGAAAUAACUUUUUGCUUUAAAAGGCAUGAAGGGCAUUCUACCAUUGACACUGAAGGAACAAUCA